rnacentral:lncRNA from 12 species
AUGAUUUUUGUGUGUUUUCACUCAGUGAUUGUUUGUAGUAAUCAGCAUUAUGUUGUGUUUGUCAGACUGCAGGCUAUGUUAGAGAUUCAGAGGCUUGAAGCUGAAGUAGAGAAUCACAACACAAGGAACAAUGAGAAGCUGAAGAAGGCACUAAAUGAUGCAUCUGCAAAGUCAGGUGACCUCUCACGAGCCAAUCAGGAGCUUCGAGAGAAGGUGUCUGAGCUGGAAAAGUUGGUGUCCAAUCAGAAGUCUCGACUGAGUCAGUAUCUGGACAACAGAACAGCUCUGAAACACUCUCUGAGAAUCAAGGUCAUCAAUACUGCAAGACCAACAAAGUGCUGGAGAACUGCCAUUAUGUAA